GCGGCUGCAGCCAGGCUCUUAGGAGUCAGGCUCAUCUCCCCUAAGUCCCUAAGAGGCCUCAACCCUGACUUCUACCUUUUCCAUCUCCUAGUGAGUUGCUUUUUGGGGACUGCCUGGUUCCAGGACCCAAGCAGGAUCCCUCCCUUACAGCCCACUAGCGCUAUGGCCCUUAGGAAUCACAGGCGGGAGAAAACUUAACAGGGCGUCUGCCCCUGUGUCCCUAGCCUGGGCGAAACCCUUCAGGCCACCAACUGCAUCGCGGGCUGACCAAAUGCUUCCGUGCAGACCUCUCGGAAUCUCGAAUGCGUGCACGAAACAGACUGAGCAUAUAUAUAGGACAGGGCUGGACGGCACGCGGGCUCAGACGGUGGCACCCCCUGCCAGCGCACAACUGUUCUCUACUGUUUACCCUUCAAGGACAUGGAUAGAGCUAGCUGUCCAUCAUCGGAGAGAACGAGCUCCUGAAGCCCAGAAAGUGGGCAUUUUUUUUGCAUUAUCUGUACAGCACACACCACCAGCCCUUUGAAAACUAAGCAAGGCAACAGAAACAUAUCCACCAGCCUCUGUAUCAAGUCACUAAGAAGAGUCCAACUCUUUCACAAUGACUCAGCCCCCUAAAGGUAAGAGUAUAGUUAAUUCUUCCAGCUGGAAGUUGGGUUGAAUGGCUUAUCUCCAGCAUCCAAAGAUCAUAAUCAUCUGAUUUAUUUUGAAAUACAGUUUUCAGCAGCAGUGUUCUAAGAACCAAGUCUGUUCAUCACUCUAUAAUCCCCCACAUUGUCUACGGCCAUACCACGCUGAACGUGCCUGAGCUCGUCUAUAAUCCCCCAUAUUAAGAUUUGUAUUAAUCUCUUUGAAAGCAUGAAUAAUACAAUGUCCAUUCUCCUAUUUUUCAGUGAAAUAUCAAAAAGCUUAUUUAAAAAAAAAAAAAGAAAAAACAAUUUCUUCCCCCUCCUCUGCCUCCAGAUGAAUGGAUUUUCCCCUGAGCUUUCACAUUUCCAACUUUGCUUUUGGUUUCCUUGACUAUAGUUGACCCACUUGGUCCCUAUUUCCCUGAAAUCUUCCUUCGCCUUUGAAAAUGUGAUACUCCUAUUUCCCCAGCUACAGUUUCAUCUCUCCCAUCUCCUCCUCUCUUCUUGACCCAUCCCGCAAGGCCAGUCAAAGCUUAGUUUAAUAUUUUGUUCUUCUCUUUCUGUAGAUUCUCUAUCUUACCAAUUCUAGCAGUUUUCCACUAUCACACUUAUAUUGGUGAUUCCCAAAAUGUACAACUUAUGUCUUCGCAUUUCGUCCUUUCCCAUCUUCUGUGUCAGAGAGCAUGUCUUAGGGAACCUGUGACAUCUGAAAUGUCAGUAAGCAUGAAAUCCAGCCGAAUGCCCCUACCCAUUUACUUGCACCCUCAUCUGCCCCCAAUCAAUCAAAUGUUGUCCUGGCCCCACCCUUUCUGCAUUUGUAUCUUCCUUUUCCUUUCCCCAGAGCAGACCUUCAUCUCAUCACUGGAAUUGCUGUGAGGUCCCCAAUUAUGUGCUAAG
rnacentral:lncRNA from 12 species